GUGUAGGCGUUAGGCGAUCGCAGUCUUUAGUCUCUUUACAUUCGUGGUCUGUGGUUGCAGUAUGUUAUUUUCAUUGACGUUUGUUAUGGAAACGAGUUAAUUGCUUCUAAUUUUCAAGAUGACUUUCAAGGCUUUAUGCUUAGAGCUGUUGUUGGCAAGUGUUCUUGUUGAAGCUUUUAAAAGCGAACUUGCAAGUAAUUUCAGUCCAUAUUGUUCGUAUGUUGAUAAGACCCUUAAACACGUUAUCGGGAAGCUUAAGGAAUUCAUUAGAAAGUUACACAGGUUAAAGAGAAAACAAAAAGUUGGUUUUGAACCUUUAGGUAGUUCUGUUACUAACUGUGUAAGGUUACUUGAAGAAUUUGUGGGCAGCCUUAAGGAUGCAAACAUGACGGCAUUACCAAAUUUUUAUUACCAAAUCAUGCAACUUGUUGAAAACUAUGCAAAACUUCUAGUAUUUCAAUCUGAAUGUGGCUUUGCAGGUGCUAGAUUAUGAGCACAAACUUUCUUGUUUUCUAAAUGGUUUAACCACAUGCAGUAUCAGAAUUCAAGUCGAUCAUUACCAACAUCACUCUCCAGUUAUUUUGGUAAAGUUGUGUACAAAUCCACUUUUUUCAGCCAGCCGACAUAUAUCUGGAAAGUGUGACAUCAUUGAAAAUAAGGAUUGUGUUAAUCUCGAAUCCGCCGUUGUUGUACCGGAAACCCCCCCAAGAUGCCCCCAUCAACCCGCCUGUGAUGGAAUGGCUACGGUACGCGGGAUAGGUUUACUUUCAUGGAGGCGCUUAUUUCCGAUGUUGGCACCUGUGCGUCCUGUACGGUUAAUGAGUGGGCGUUGGACCAUACUGCGAUCUACCAAUACCUCUGAAGACGAAUUACCUCAAAAAUCGAACGAAUAUACAGCAACAUUCCAGAACGAACUCCAGAAAAAGCUCUGUAGUUCGUUGUCUACAGACUGUGUGGAUGAAAGAAAAAUUGUGUCGAGAAAAUCGUUAUUUCCGAAACGGAAACUGCCAACUGUAUUUAUGGUCACCGAUUCGCUUUUUUCUACCCCUAAGAAACAAAAGACCAUUGAAAAUGUAGAUUGCGAGUUGACUAUGAGUAAAGAAUGGAUGUACAGCAUCUUGUAGAAAUUCCGGUUUUUAGUGGAGUGAGAGAGCUGAGUCUAAGCAUUGUCAUAGUUUUGUUUUGAUCAGGUGAAUUAGUUUCAACCAAGUAGCUGCUGUCAUUUUCUUGUUAAUGUAUCAUUGGAGCUGAAACAGUUAUAAUGUCUCAGACAUUGGUUACGAUUAUACGGGUCUGUCCAGUAUCCACCAGCAUGAUUUGAAACAAUUGAAAUCCUAAUCCAAAGAUUAAUAAUGUAAUCAUAGUUCCAAGAAGCACUGUUGUUUUUCGGAUUUCAGGUAGAUUAGGUGUUCAGCCGACUCUUUUUAUGCGAGUGAAGUUCUUUGCGACGUGUGAAAAGAUAACUUGGCCGUGGCUAUAUCGCCUAUAAGGCAUGUUUCCCGCAAUAAAAGAAAACAAAAUGGCA
rnacentral:misc_RNA from 1 species